GAUGAACGCUGACAGAAUGCUUAACACAUGCAAGUCAACUGUGGCGGACGGGUGAGUAACGCGUAAAGAACUUGCCUCACAGCUAGGGACAACACUUGGAAACGAAUGCUAAUACCUGAUACUGUGAGAGAGCUUUGCGUCACAUUAGCUAGUUGGAGAGGUAACGGCUCACAAAGUCGAUGGUGGGUAGCCGGCCUGAGAGGGUGAUCGGCCACAAGGGGACUGAGACACGGCCCUUACGCCUACGGGAGGAAGCAGUGGGGAAUAUAGGACAAUGGACCAAAGUCUGAUCCAGCAAUUCGGUGUGCACGAUGAAGUUUUCGGAAUGUAAAGUGCUUUCAGUUGGGAAGCAGUACCAACAGAAGAAGUGACGGCUAAAUACGUGCCAGCAGCCGCGGUAAUAC
rnacentral:rRNA from 1 species